rfam:Dipodomys ordii contig_6917, whole genome shotgun sequence.
GGUGGCUCAGUGGUAGAGCACUUGCCUCCCAUGCAUGAGGCCCUGGGUUCAAUUCCUCAGCACCA